UACGUAGGGGGCAAGCGUUGUCCGGAUUUAUUGGGCGUAAAGAGCUUGUAGGCGGUUUGUCGCGUCUGCUGUGAAAAUCCGGGGCUCAACCCCGGACUUGCAGUGGGUACGGGCAGACUAGAGUGUGGUAGGGGAGACUGGAAUUCCUGGUGUAGCGGUGAAAUGCGCAGAUAUCGGGAGAAACACCGGUGGCGAAGGCGGUUCUCUGGGCCUGUACUGACGCUGAGGAGCGAAAGCGUGGGGAGCGAACAGG
rnacentral:rRNA from 1 species